UGGGGAAUUUUGCACAAUGGGGGAAACCCUGAUGCAGCGACGCCGCGUGAUUUAGAAGGCCUUCGGGUUGUAAAAAUCUUUUCUAUGGGAAGAAAAUGACAGUACCAUAGGAAUAAGGACCGGCUAAUUACGUGCCAGCAGCCGCGGUAAUACGUAAGGUCCGAGCGUUGUCCGGAAUCAUUGGGCGUAAAGGGUACGUAGGCGGGUAAGCAAGUUAGAAGUGGAAUCCUAUAGCUCAACUAUAGUAAGCUUUUAAAACUGCUCAUCUUGAGGUAUGGAAGGGAAAGUGGAAUUCCUAGUGUAGCGGUGAAAUGCGCAGAUAUUAGGAGGAAUACCGGUGGCGAAGGCGACUUUCUGGCCAUAACCUGACGCUGAGGUACGAAAGCGUGGGUAGCAAACAGG
rnacentral:rRNA from 1 species